AUUGAACGCUGGCGGCAGGCCUAACACAUGCAAGUCGAGCGGAUGAAGGGAGCUUGCUCCUGGAUUCAGCGGCGGACGGGUGAGUAAUGCCUAGGAAUCUGCCUGGUAGUGGGGGAUAACGUCCGGAAACGGGCGCUAAUACCGCAUACGUCCUGAGGGAGAAAGUGGGGGAUCUUCGGACCUCACGCUAUCAGAUGAGCCUAGGUCGGAUUAGCUAGUUGGUGGGGUAAAGGCCUACCAAGGCGACGAUCCGUAACUGGUCUGAGAGGAUGAUCAGUCACACUGGAACUGAGACACGGUACAGACUCCUACGGGAGGCAGCAGUGGGGAAUAUUGGACAAUGGGCGAAAGCCUGAUCCAGCCAUGCAGCGUGUGUGCAGAAGGUCUUCGGAUUGUAAAGCACUUUAAGUUGGGAGGAAGGGCAGUAAGUUAAUACCUUGCUGUUUUGACGUUACCAACAGAAUAAGCACCGGCUAACUUCGUG
rnacentral:rRNA from 1 species